rnacentral:misc_RNA from 1 species
CUCCGCACGCGCGCAUUCACGAGGGACCAACACGCGAAGGAAGGAAGGGGCACCCGUCUCGUCUUCUCCCUAUCACUCAUACAUCUGCCCGCGCAGGUUUGGCGCGCGACGCUGCCGCUGUGCACGCGCUGCCCUGCUCUGCCUGCCGAUCACUGCUGCUUCGCGCCCCUGCUCCAUUUUCUUCCUUGGCGUGUGCGUGUGCGUGCCUCUCGGCGUUUUCCGUGGCUUGCUUGUCUCGACGUUUGACGUCUCUCUCUAUCGUUGACGGUGAAGUGGUCUGUCGCAGUACAUAGAGCAUGCACCGCAGUGCCCUCUUCCUGGUUGGUGAGUUGCCCAAGGCGCUCUUUUCGAAAGCCUCACCGACGGGCGCGAAGCCGUUGCCAUCCGCUGGUAGCUCGUUGAGCUCGCCUCCGUCGCCACGCAGCGGCACCGCCCUUGCGAAAGGGAAGCGUGUCGGCCGCAUCAUUGAAUGGGACCCUUUUGAGCGGCACGGCGUCAUCGCCGAGAGUGAGGGUGGCCGCCGCUACAGAAUCGCAAACACGCGUGCCUUUGAGACGGUGCUGCCGACGAUGCUGCGCACGCUUGAGGGUGCCGCUGUGGAGUUUGACGUCGACCGGCAAGCCUCUGCCGAUCGAGUGAUCAUCCGCAAUCGACUCACCCCCAUCACAGCGGAGAGCUACCGGCAGAGGCCCCCCGUCGACUUCUUGAGCCCUGCAAUGCUGAGUUGGGCAGGCCCACAUGCCGCGGCAUCGAAGCAAGAUGAGACGAGCAGCGACAAUACAGAGAGAGAGAGCGGUUUCAGUGAUGGGGGCAACACGGCAGUUGAGGCCGAGGAGCUGUUCGCAAAGAACAUCAUUAUAGACGUCAGCAGCAUACCAGCCACCCAGAUUGCGCGCUGGAGCGGCCCCUUGUCGGAGGAGGCAGUGAUACAGCCCACCAAGAACCUCAAAGACAUGCGCAGCAGCCGCCUCUUCGACGCGGAGAUAAACGCCUAUCUGCGCCUGAAGCAGCAGCUCGGAAAUACCGCCGAUGCGCAGCGUGUGCUGGCGGAGCAGCGCGAACGGGAUGCCAAGGGUGCGGUGCGGCGGGACGUGAUCGCGGAGAAGACGGAGGGCAUCAUCUUGGCCUGGUCCGGCAUCCACCGCAGCGGGCUCAUUCGCGAAGGGGUACAGCAUCGCGGAGAUGAGGCCUCAUCAGACGGCACGUUGCCGGCCACCCUCGACAACGGGGACGGCGCGGCCGAGGAGACUCUUUGCAUUAUUCGAAACGCGCAUGCGUUUCAGAGCGCGCUGCCCACGUCGCAGAGCCUGCAGCACCGGCGUGUUGCCUUCACAAAGGUGUCGUAUUCAGCGCAACCGCACCGCUACUACGCGGAGAACAUCAUUGUGGUCGGCGAUGUGCGCUACAACGCAGCCGUGCCGUCUUUGGAGGAGGCGCGCACUAUCAAGGAGCGGGAGAAGGCUGCUGCCAUGCAGCACCGCCAUUUUGGAGCGCUUUUCAUGGAGGACGAUGACGGUCAUGGCGCGGGAAGCGGUGAGCGACAGCCAAGCAAUAGCCAGCAAUCCGCUGCAGCUAGGCCGGCUGAGGAGGCAUCUACGCGCGCAGCCGCCUCUGCGCUCUUGAGGGACGAUGAGGCGCAGGUGGACCCUAACAAGGUGCUCUACGGUGUCAUUGUGCGCUGGAGCGGCGGCCAGGGUGUCAUUGAGGGUGGAGAUGGCCGUCACUUCUACCUUCGCUCCGCCGCAGAUUUCGAGCAGCUGGUGGACAAGAGCUCGCAUCACCUGCGCGGCGCCGUUGUUCAGUUCAAGCAAGAUGUGGCGAGCCCCCGCUACGCGUGCCAGGUGGAUAUACUCAGCACCGCCGCGACGGCCAUGAGCGAGUUAAAGCCGCUGCUGGAGAAGACGGCGUUUAACGUGUUCGCCGCCAACGGUGCAGAGCCAGCGGCAAACGUCGAGGCAGCGGCCGCAGCGUCAAAGGCAGUACCGGAAGGGGUGGAAUGGACGCAUGGCACGCUCCUCUCGUGGUCAUCCAUGGAGGGCCAGGGCAUCAUCAUCGGCGAAGCAGAUCACGAGGCGCGCUACGUGCUGCGAGACCCGGAAGAAAACGUUGUCGACUACACCGCAAAGCAGGCGCUGCUCAGAAAAGGGCGGCGAGUAAAGUUCACGCCAUUUGGUAGCACGGGGAGAUUGGCGUGCAAUGUAGUGUUGCUGGAGGCAGAGGUCGACGAGGAGGCACUGGCGGAGGAGGUGCUGCGGCCGAAAGAGCCGCAGCUGUCGAUGGAUGGAAACAAGAAUGAGGCGGUCCCGUCCCCCAUGAGCACGAGCUACUGGCUGAACCGGAUGGAUAAGGCUGGCUAUGACACAAAGGAGGUGAAGAAGUUGCAAGACCGCGCGCUGCGGCUGGACGAGGACGAGGACGACGACGGCGCCGAGGGUGGCAAGUUCCUCGAUAGCGAGGAGCUCCUGAAGAAGGAUCACUGGUGGAGUGACCCGCGCAAGAAUGUGCGGUUCCCGAACAGCGACAUGACGGCCGGCCACCUCGCCCUCAUCGGCCCCGCUUCCAUGAUGAACGUUGCAAUGAAGACAAAAGACCCCAAGAAGCUGGACAAGAUGCUGAAGAAGUACCAGUCGCGGCUGACAGAGGAGCAGAAGGAGUACGCGUGGAGGCAAGCGAAGGAGAUGGCGCCCAAGUAUGAGGAGUGCGUCCGCAAGGGCCGAGAGCGCAACGAAGAGCCCACCUUCUACUUCUUCUAGUUACCUGCGUGGCUUUUCUUGCCUGUGUCUGUGCGCCGCAGUGGCGCCGUCGCUUGUAUUGUGCCUCGCAGAAGCGAUGCUCCGCUGAUUUCCUGCACAUCUGCGCCACUUGGCGCUUCUC